AAAGAUUAUUGAGAUAAAACAAGUUGGAAAUUAAAUCUAAAGUUUAAAUGGAGAUUUUAAAUAAGAAUUUCUCACUCAAAUUUAAACAAACAGCUAUUUCCCAGUGUGUGUGUGUGUGUGUGUGUGUGUGUUGGGUCUUGUUUGAGACAGGGUCUGACUAUGUUGCCUAGGCUGACUUCA
rnacentral:sRNA from 1 species